rnacentral:lncRNA from 1 species
ACAAAAAACUAAAAUAUUAUUAAUUUAAUAAAAUCAUCCACUACAUAAUCAUUCAUUAUCUUUACAAUUAAUCAUCUAAAGCUACCACAGUUCUUCAAUCAAAGUAUAUAUCUAUAUAUAUAUAGAGAGUACACUUCAUAAUUUCGUCUCGUCUUUCGUAAACGUAGCACAAAAAUUUGAUACACAGUAUUGUAAGGCAGGUCGUAGAAGCAGUCUUCCUGCACAUAUUUAAAAAUAAUAGCAAGUCAAGAAAAUGAAGCAAAUAGGUCACCAGAGGCACUUACUGCUAAAAUCAAUACACAAAGACAAUAGAGUUGCUACGUGGUACUAAUGUACACCGUAUUGCUCAUAAGCAGAAAAAGACAAAUAGACAAUCACAAUAUCAUUUGCAACAAAUCCAAAUAGAAAAAGAACAUUCAGUGCGACUAUAUGAUUGCUCUGUUACAAGAAAAAAUUGGAAUCUUAAUCGGCCAUUUCAUAAAUUAAUUUCAAUAAGCAUGGUGGUAAACAUAUUUUCUGUUACAAGACUUGUAGAUUAUUAUUAUAUGUUGACCUCAAGUCAGAAUUCAGUCACAUUCAACAAUCACAAGCAUCACACAAUCUUAAAUACCAUCACACAAUCUUAAAUAACAAUGUUUAGAUUUAUAUAUAGAAAGGACAACAAUUAUGAAAAAGUUGAGACUAUUAGUCAAUGUGAAAAAACUUUCUUGAGAUGUCCAUAAGAAGGAUAAAAUAAGAUAAAAAAGUUUGCUCACAAAAAUUAAAAAGUAUCUUGAAGGCAUGCUAUAGCAUACUGAUCACCUGCAUAAACCAAACUGAGGCAAAAACGUUAAGAUUGGUUACAGAAGGAGAAUUCGCGCUUCCAAGGGGAAAUAUAUUGAAUUAGAGUCGCAACAAGGAUAUUAUGAGAAAUCUAAUUACUAUAAUAAAAAGAAAAAAUAGUGCAACUCCAGAUCUCCAAUAUUGCAGCGAAAGUACCAUUAAAAUAAUUCUACUGAUGGUUUGGCAAUAUGAACCAAGGCAAAGAUAAUUUAACAGUAUUUUCAAACUAUAAUUAUCAAAUAAGGUUAAGAUUUAAGAACAAGUGAAAUACAAAUUUACAACGACUAUAUAUGAAAUAUUCACAACAGAUAUUUCCAUCUUCAACGGUGUAGAGUACCCCAAAUUUGUGGCGUAUGUUUUGAUUUUUGAAAGAAACUGAUUGUUAUAUUCAUUAUAGACAUAAGCCAGGAUAAAAACAAAUAAAUAAAUAAUAUGAAGUACUCCCAAAACAGGCUUUUCAAGUAGCAAUUUUGUAUUAUUAGUUAAUAUACCCAAAACUUCUUAGCAUGAUCUAUUGCAUAAAAUAGCUUUUAACUAAGUAAAUAAUCAAUGUAAAGAUGUGUGGUAAUGCUUCAACAUUCACAAGCUAGAAAGAACAUGCAAUCACACAAGUACAAGGAUAAAUUAAAUAUGGACUAUGAGCAAAAUCUUAGGUUUGAGUCAAUAAUGUGAUACCUGAACAUACAUGUGAUUAAUUUGCUCUAACCAAUCACUUUUCACACACACCUUGUCAUCAGAGAAAACAUGACUGUUUCUUUUGAGAAUGGUCGCAAUUGUGUAUCNNNNNNNNNNNNNNNNNNNNNNNNNNNNNNNNNNNNNNNNNNNNNNNNNNNNNNNNNNNNN